rnacentral:lncRNA from 1 species
AUUGCCAUAGUCAUCGCUUCACGUCAUGUUUUUCCACGCCGUGAGUGCAGCCUGUGAGUAGUGGUCAUGGCAGGAGUGGAAGUACCUCCAGUAUUUAAAGACCUCCCGGUCAAAGUGCAAACGUCCAAGCUUGUCACUCGCAAGGAGCUCUUCUGCCAGCUGGAAGAAGCGGCAAAAACCGGAUGCCUAGCGGACCCUGUGGUGCGUGGCCUGUGCCAAGUGCUGGG